AUUUAAAUUAGCCCAGUAAGACUUGGGAUGAUGUCACGAGACCAUCAGCCAACAGCUAAUUCACAUUUGAAUAGUAGUUUAUAAAAAGGGGAUCAUUCACUGUACUCUUAGGAGAACAUAUGUGGUGCCAUUGUUUAUUUACUUGUUUGUUUAUUCUCAUUAAUGAAGUAUAUGGGUGAUGGCCUGACGUUGGAAGAAAUUGGAGAUUGGCUCUAUGCUUCUGCAGUAACUCCUUGACUGUAGUCUUUACACGCACACCCUGGUACACCUUGGUUUUAUCUGCUGAAAAAGAAGACAUCAAGUUGUUUCCAUCUUUGUUUUAUUUGCAAACAGUCAUGCAACAGUCAUUUCUUCUAUGCAAUUUUAUUUGCCAAAAGGAAAAACUGUUCUGGUGAACUAAUUCUCACAUAAUAUCAAACUUGUUCAUAAAUUCUUAAAGAUAUCUUUAAAUUCAAUCUUGUUUGAUAAUUUCUCUUAUUUGCACCGCAUGAAAAACUCUAUUGUGGAAAUGAUCCUUUGCCCGUCUUCCCAGUUCAAGCACCGCUGGCCGGUGAGCAAAGGCAUCCGGCAGUGAAUGGGUUAUUUUUUUUGCAUUGCAAUAGAGUGCAGGAGAAUUUGCUCUCCAGCCAUCUUUGUCACGUCGCGAGAGUUUUAAACCAGGAGUUUGGUUUAGUUUAAUUCAAAUCUGACUUCAUUUAAAUCCUACAAAAUCGUGGUUACAUAUAGACCUCUUUUGGCUUUCUGAACAGUGUGCAGAAGAGCGCAGUCUGGUUUGCAGGAAACUUGGAAAAGUGUGUGAACACUGCUUAGGAGAACAGAAGAAAGAAAAACGUUCUCGACAGAGGUUUCUACUCAUUACGAACGUUCCCAAAGAAGAAAACAUCUUAAAUGAAGAAAAAAGAAUAUUCACUUACCAGACAUAUUGGCCUGAAAAGAAGGAAAAUUCUGCAGGAGCUACAAUGAAAUACCCCAACGUCACUUCUUUGCUCUAUUAUAUGGGCAAUAACGAAUUAUUCACAAAAGUCUCAAAAAGUCUCAACAAAGUAACCUCAAAACACUCUCAGGACAUACAAUUAUACAGUAAUAUACCUAGGGAUAUUUUAGUUUGAGUUUUUCUCCCCUCAUCCCUACUAUUUAAAACCCCAAGAACUCCAUGAUUUGACAAUGAUUUGAUUGCGCGAUACUUUCAAUUUGAAUAUUCAAAGGCUUCUUAAAAAGACUUAUUUCUUAGUGAUAUUCGCUAUUUCAGUGCAUAUAAUAACAUCUCUUAUAACAGAAUGUUAUGUUAUUUCACAUUUUGACAUCAAACAAAUAUAUAUUUUUAACAUUUUAUCACCCUUUUGAAGUUGGUGGUUGGAGUCUCCAUUAGACCCACUAUUUCAACUUUGUAAUGGCACAAAGGGCCCAAACGAAGUUUUACAUUCAUGACACAUUGUAAAUAUAUUCUGUAACGGGUAGUCUUAUAAAGUAAAUAAAUAUUGCGUCCUGUUGUUUAGAUUAAUGCAGUAUUAUACGAAUUAUUGGACUGGUGGGCGUGGCAUAUGACAGCAGCCAUGUUUGUUAUCAGAACAAUUGGGAUCUCUGCUGAAUUCAAUUUACUGGGAUAGUAAAAGUAUAUUGAGUAAGUCUGGGCAUUAAAUAAACUCGAUUAAAUUAUUUUUUUGCAUUAAAAA